UUCCACUAGGACGUCCGGAAGAACUGAGAAGCUUGGAGAGAUUUCCAGUUCCCUCUCGGCCGCUUCUUUUUCUUCCUUGGUUGCUCCCUUUCGAUUUUUCAUGGUUGCAAACUCUUGGAUUAGUUCUUCCUCCUAGCCUUGCUGUUUGCUUCUCUUGUUUUGGUUCUUUGCUGUUGGACAGCUUCUUGCAAUCCUUGGAACCGCUCCAGCCUUGUGUCACAUUCACCAAGAAGGUGCUAGCCGUGCUCUGGUGAAGGGUUUGGUGGUAGCUUGGGCGUGGACGAACUAGGUCCUAGGUCCUCUUUGUUUGCAGAGGCAGGUUGGUUACCCGGUUUGUAGGUACGUGGAGAUCCUUUGGAGCAGCUUUCGUGGGCAUCCGACAGUAACAAAUCAUCCUAGAGGAAUGCUUGGAGGCGGGCCUGCAAUAGCAAGGGACGGGCUCUGGCGAUCGGUCUGUCGGGGGUGGCUGGCACCUGCAAGCACUUCAACACUCAAGUGAGUAAGGGAGUAAAAUGACAAAGUAUCAGUAUGCUAGAAAGAGAACAUACUUUGACUCUGGGGAGAGUUGGUUUAUAUAAAAGAAGGGGAGGCCCUCUUGCAUGCAUACGUCGUGUGCUUGUAAGGUGAUAGGACUGAACGUCUGGUGCCGGAGCCUCUUGGUGGCGGCAUGGUGCCGAUGAGACUACUAUUAAUGUAGAUGAGAUUUGUCAUUAAUGAGGAUGAGAUCUGUCAUAAAUGAGGAUGGGAUCUUGAGCGGGCGCGGGAAUAUCCAACGUGCAAGUGUAAUGAUAUUGUUACAAACUGAUGCAGGAUCGGGAUCGGGCCUUGGGCUGGGGGUCGGGACUAGGCCAUGGGCCAAGGGUAGAGAUUGGGCCAGGGGUUGGGGGCCGAGACUGGGCUGUUGGCCAAGGGUCGAUAUCGGGCCGGUACGGUCCAUGAAGAAAAGGAGAGCUUCAAUAUUCAGAACAAGAAAGGAAAAAGAAUUGAAGUUAACUGAUGUUGUCAUAUUAUUACUGCCUAUUAUUCACGGUUUCAGAACGCAGUUGUUGUGUGCCAUCCGGCUUAGGAUCUGUGGAUUUGAUCCCCCUCCAGCCCGUGUAUUUGGUUGCCGGUUCUUGAGUUGAAGGAACAAGGAGUGAGUAAGGAGGAAGCUAUGGCCUGGCUGGUAAACCAAACCUGUUGCUGUUUGUGAAAUUGAGUUCUAAUAAAAUUUUGACGUGAAUUCGCUGUCACUAUCAAAUUCUUUCCUCUCCAAUGUUGGCUCAUUUUUAUUCCAGGAUUAUUGUUGGUAGAAGUACCAAAGCAAGUGGGUUAGAAAUAGUUUUAGCUUGACUGCAUGUGAACUAGAAUUGAAAUUUUCUUGUCAUACUUGGCAAAGAUAAUGUUGCUUAGAGCUCUUCCAUUCGAUGGGACCAUUUAUACUGAUGUUAAUGGCUUUAUAAAACUGCUGAGGUACAGGCUGUUGGAUGGUUCAGAUUUGUGAGAUUUACUGUGAUAAGAAGUUUGAGUUUGUAAGAAGUUGAGAGUUCUCCCCUCUUUGUGUGUGUGUGUGUGUGUCUAG